CUUUUAGGAGAAAGGAAAAUUUGAAAGAAAAAAGAAAAGUAUUGGAAAAGAUUAGCAUGGCCCCUGCGCAAGGAUGACACGCACAAAUCGAGAGAAAAAAGUAUU